rnacentral:rRNA from 2 species
CGCAAGCCUGACGGAGCAAGACCGCGUGAGGGAGGAAGGCUCUUGGGUUGUAAACCUCUUUUAUCAGGGAAGAAGAUCUGACGGUACCUGAUGAAUCAGCAUCGGCUAACUCCGUGCCAGCAGCCGCGGUAAUACGGAGGAUGCAAGCGUUAUCCGGAUUUAUUGGGCGUAAAGCGUCCGCAGGUGGUUUUUCAAGUCUGCUGUUAAAGCGCGAGGCUUAACCUCGUACAGGCAGUGGAAACUGAGAGACUAGAGUGUGGUAGGGGUAGCGGGAAUUCCCAGUGUAGCGGUGAAAUGCGUAGAUAUUGGGAAGAACACCAGCGGCGAAAGCGCGCUACUGGGCCAUCACUGACACUCAUGGACGAAAGCUAGGGGAGCG